rnacentral:rRNA from 1 species
CAACUUUCAGCAAUGGAUCUCUUUGGCUCUCGCAUCGAUGAAGAACGCAGCAAAUUGCGAUAUGUAAUGUGAAUUGCAGAUCUACAGUGAAUCAUUGAAUCUUUGAACGCACAUUGCGCUCCUUGGUGUUCCGAGGAGCAUGCCUGUUUGAGUGUCAG